UGACUCUUGACAUUUAUUGUCCAGGUCUGGUCUGCAGCACUUAGGAUGCCUCUAGCCUAUGGAGAUGGAGUUACACAUCAUGCAUGUUGUCUGUACAUGCUACACCACUUCUCCAGACUUGACCUCUAUCAAAGGGCAUUUGGGUAUGGCCCGAGAUGGGAGUAACAUCUCUUUUCAGCUGUGUCAAAUUCUUACACCAUGUUCUUUUGUUUUUUCCUCAUAAUACAAGGCCAAGCACAUCUGCAAAAAAGACAUUGCUGGAGGAGGUGCAAAGAGCUGGAAACCAAGUCUCCAGUCCUGGGAAAAGCAGUGGUAUGGAAAAGCAAUGGAAAGAGCAUUUUGAAAAUGCCAUUCCACUGUUUUCUGGCCUUUAUGAUUUCUGCUGAGAAAUCCACUGUUAGUCUGAUGGGGUCUCCUUCAUAGCUGUCUGGGAACACUCUGAAAGCCCUGAGCUGCCACAUAAGAAGUCUG
rnacentral:lncRNA from 1 species